GGGAUGUAAUAAAUGCUUACUGAAUAUUCUUCAGGGAUGAUCCAGAUUCAGGACAUCCACAUUACAGAUGCUUAAUCCAAUGUAAAGGGAGAUUGCCUCUCUGCCUCCUGUGUGGUGAGCGUGUGUCCCAGCCAAGAGGAAAGAUCACUUCAACUACUCACACGCAGGCCUACAGACAACAGAAGGAGGAUCAAGAGACGGAGAAGCUGGUGUCAGGAUGACAGCCCCUUCCCUGCUAAGGAAAACCCUGGGAUUGAGAAUCCUGGCUCCCAAUCAACCUCCUCAUACUGGCAUAAGUCCUUAAAAGUACCUACCUAGAGGUUAGAUGGAAAAAAAAGAUGAAAUGGACAAAAAUACAAAAAAAGGACAUUUAUAUCUCUGGGAACAGAUCUCUUCUCUUUGCCCAAAAUACUUCAAUGCAUUUUCUAAAGAACUCAUAGAGGAGGUACUCCUUCCUACAUGGAGCACCAGAACAGGAGUCGGGAAACCAAAGGUGCAAUGAAGGUUCUGAUUGCUGGAAAGUGAAAAAAACACAAAAAGAUUAAUGGACCAGUGUCACUCAAGGAUUCACAGCCAACAAACAUGAGCUGUCUGUUCCUGUUUAAUAUCUCUGCAUCUUCCUGAAGGCUGAGUUUUACUAUUUGACUCCUUCUAUCCCUUUAAACAG